GGAAGCACCAGUGAACGCUCCUGUAACAGUAAAUACAGAGUCUUCUGGGCUGCUGUGAAAGGGGGUAAUGAAGGUGCAGAAACUGAAUGCUUGUGCUUUCAAAUGAACCUGUACUUGGCUAAAGAGAAGAGGCCACUGAUGCUGAGUAACUGGGGUGAGACAGCUCAAUCGCCACCACAGGAGCCAGCCCGCCAGCCCAGUCCCUUCCUAGCCACCAGUCCUUGCGGGCUUCACUGCUUCCUCUCUAUCUGCUCCAAGACCACGCUCAGGACUCCCUUCCCCUCUCACCUAAGCCUGACAGGCUGCAAUGACGCCACUUCCCAGCUCCACUGCCACAGCUGAACUUGGCUGGUAUUUAUUUAGGUACGUAUUUAUUUAUUUAUGGCUGGUUUUUAGAGAUAAUAAAUCUGAGCUCCAAAAAAAUGUAAAUGAA